UCUAACUCCGAAAAAAUUAUUAAAAAAAAUAAAAUAAAAAAUUUCAUGGCCAAACGGGCUCUUAUUAUACCUAGUCCCUCCCUUUUAAUGACAAAGUUAAAAGAAUAAGUGAAGAACCACGAAAAUGAAAAAAAAAAUCAUAAAUCAGACAGCAUCAGCAAAGUGCAAUUACACCACUUGAAAAUUUGACCGCACAUGAUUGCGCAGUCCAGUGCUCGAGCAGGCAGACACUAGUUUUCUUACUUCCUAUGCUAUGCAACCAACUAGAUGGUUGGGGCUUCAGCUGGCGGCCAUCCAACAUAUUACGGGGCUGAUUUUUGGAUUUUAUUUAUUUUAUGGUAUUUUUUGAUUUUUGAAUUUUUUUUUUUAGGGUAUUAUCAUACAUGGUUUGUAAGGACAUGUUAUAAAUAGAUCCUAAACACAUUUUACAUGGACUUUUGAUCGAGAGAGCUUGGAGAGGCAGAGAAGAGUUUAGACCACGGAUUUCAUUACAUCAUAUACAACUAGAUUAAAUAUGAAGUAUGUUUUGAGUUCAUCGGUGAUUGCAAAUCAACCCUUUGACAUAUGGAUGGUUGAGAACCUGCGCUCUUUUUGAGGUGUCUUUUAAGGUUGGUCACUUGAUUUUCCCUUUACAAACUCAGUGUGACCACCACUUUAUGCAUCCGACUUCUUUUUUUUUUUUGGUCUACACAGCUUCUUAUUAAGCCUUUUUGGAUAAUUUUGUGCCUUACUCCGCCAGUUCGGUGUCAUUACUAAGGCAGGGAUAAAGAGUCAGAUUACUCUCAGCCGAGAAUUAGUGAGAUCCUUUUCGAUUCUUACUCAUUUUAUAAGAACUUUUAAUACUCGAGCAACAGAGGCACAAAAGAGGAGGACAAGUUGGUAAGUGAGUUUGGUUCCCUUGUGAAAGAGAAUGAUUUAGUUAUCAUUCAAAGAGGUUGUGGCUAGCCUGCUGAUGAAUUAUAAGUUGAAGGGCCCAAUCCUUUUGAGAGCAUCACUUUAUAUCAGCAUGAUCGGACCUUUGUUUAUACCUAUUCAUUUAGCAUGGGUCUUGGUGACCCUGUAGAUGAAGUGACUGCUAUAUUCUGCAAUACCCUUCAAGGUGUGCCUUAAUCCACUUGGCCCAGGGAUUUGGAGUUUUCUCUUACUCGUUUGUUUCCCCUUUAUUCUUCUCUUCUCACUCGAGGAGGGAUAAUUUAACUAUCUGGUUGCGAUAGAAAAUAUCCUUUGCAGUUUGGAUGAUCACAAAUAUUAAGUUUUGUCCAUCAAUUCAUUGUGUUGAUCCUCUUGAUUUGUCUAAGAAUAUUUAUCUUGUAACUUAGAAUUCUAACUGUAAGUGAUGCAGAUUAUCGACCUUCUAUUUUCUACAUCGUUCUUUGAUUUUAGCUGCUAAUCAUCCUUUAUUUUGUGCUGCUCCUUAAUGGAUUCCUCGCUUGAGGAUGUGUUUCAUCCACUUAGUCAGAAAAUUUUGCCUGUGGAUUGAGAAGAUUUUGAGUUCAUCUACUAUCGAACAGAGUUCGUGGAUUUAUUUAUCAAAUCAUUUUGGCUGGAAAUCCAAGAACCAUUGUGAUCUCAUUGUCCCACAAUCAUAGUUAUUUUUUGUUUGCACUUGGUUUUUUAUGCCUUUCCUUUGUAGGCUUGUCUUUUGGCCCUGUGAUUUUGACAUCCCGAAUUGUCUCCUUUAACUUAGUCGGAAGGAUACCCUAUAGGGUAUUGUAUGCUCUUAAAGGUUCAUCUAGGCGGACCUUCCUCUGAGGAUGUACCCAACCCUGCCAAGAGAAGGAGAACCAAAAGAUUAAGGCCCUCCACAAGUAGGUUUGAUUUUGGGGUGUAAUUCCAGAAGAUGAUACUGAAAUAACAGGAGAAUUACUGAGACAACUGGAGAAUCACCACUAACUUGGGAAUUGAGUGCUCUUAGCAUUAAUUUUAAGGUACGUUGCUUAUUUGGAGUGAAGCAAAAUCAUCAGGGGAAUGGCGUAGAGCUCAUGGACUUCGGGAACCUUAUAUUAUGAGAUCUCCCAUGGCCCUUAAAGAAAUGCAUGUUGUUGCCUCUCCGUCUUCUUUGGGAGUUCCUAUGCCUCAUUUGAUUUUGACACCCUAUAGUAUGCCGAUGUCAAGAGUCCAUUCAUUGAUAACUUUGGUCAUUUCUCUUAUUACCCUUAAUAUUUCUCCUAAUUUGACUCAGGGCUCAACGUAGUUUCAAAUGACUUUUUUGUGAAUAGCCAAUGAGGUUAGCAUAACUUUAAAAUCAGUAGAAGUGACUAAUUUUUUGAAUUAUGUGGACUCUGUGAGAGAUUAUCAAAAUAUGGAUGUUGCCUCAAUAGAGUGCCUAAUUAAUGAUUGUGCUCAUGUUGCAGCCAUGGAAAGUAAUUUGACAUUUCCAGUAUUCGUGCAUGCAUUCUUUCCCUUUUUGUUAGAGAUUUUUACAUUAUCUUAUUCAGAAUAAUAUCCUAGCUACAAAAGGUCUUUGACGAGUUUUAAAAGAGAGAGAGAACCUCUUAUCAAGGUGCUCCUACCUUGAGAAGACUCUUUCUACAAUGGGAGAUUGUCCAAUUCCAGUGCAGGCCCUUGCUCAAUGAGCCUCCAAGGUCAAAGAGCUAUGAUUUGAAAGGGACAUAAUUUUGAAUGAGUGAAAAAUGUAUCAACAGGACGUGAUUUGUUGGUCCAAAGAGGUAGAGGACUUGAAUCGUGAAAAUGUUGAACAAGCUAGUGCCAUUGAGAGGCUUUUGAGAAGAAAUCUAAACUAAGAAAACAUAUCUGAUUAGCUGGAGCUGAGUCACUACUCCCAUAAAUAGCUUUGCGUUCUCAGAGGCCACCUCAAGAUAAAAUCCAGUGUUUUCAAGAGAAAAUCUGAUCCCUGUUCAAGAAAAUUAGGCUCAAGGAUAAGCACCUUGACGUGAGAAGUCCCAGAGAUACUCAGCUGAUUUGCCUAAGGAUCUUGGGAGAGACUCAAGUUGCAGGUUUUCACUUGCAUAGGGAGAUUGUCGAGUCCUAGGACAUGGUUGACCUUGCACACCAACUGGAUUUAUAGGGGGUAUCUAUAUAUUUCUUUGAGGGUAAAGUAUCAGAGGUCAGUCUAUCUCAAGUAGGAUAAAGGCUCUUUUACCUAUGUGUAUUUUAUGUGAUUAGUUUGUUUGUCUCAGAUCUUGUACUCAAGAUCUUGAGGUUGAACCUUUGUAUUUGAUAUUAAAUAUAUUAAUGAAAUUACUCGAUUUCUUAUUUCUCAA